CUUAGCCUCCCAAAGUGCUGGGAUUACAGGCUUGAGCCACCGCGCCCGGCCGGGGAAUUUAUCUUAAACAGGUUUGUUUACUUACGUUGACCAGGAACUGACCUUGGAUCAUCCCCGCAUGUGACAUUCUCUGGAAGGGGAACAAUAAAUGUUAAUUACCUGCAGGUUGUGUUGGCUCCAGGUUUUCAGCAUUGUGCCUGCACUGAAUAAAAGCAAGCAGCUCCAGCUUCUCAGGGCUGCUGUCUGGCCACUAGAGCCAGGCAGUCACCUAGCUGCUCUUAAAUUGCAUACCUGUGUCUGAGUACUCAUUUCAUCCAUCGGCCAGGGUCUAUGGGACAGACACGGCACAGAAGGAACCAGAGUACCAGGACUACUGUACUCUAAGGAAAGUCUCUGGCUAACAGACAGUUGCCUCCUCAAAUAUCAAGCUUUGCUGCUAAAGGGAUCCUGCAGUCCAGUUGAAAACCUGCCCCUGCCUGAGCCCAGCCACUUUCUCCCAGAGAAAACUGGAGAACCUAAACAUGAUUGUGAAAAAGUAGUGGUGCAAACUGGGGGAAAAAUGAUCUUGUUUUCUUGGAAAAGGGAAUUUUUUCUCAGUCAACUGAAUUCCUUUUUUCACUCUGUCUUACUACUCUUGGUGCAUGCAUGAAAGACCCUAGAAUGGCUUCUGGUGGCCUGGUACUCCUUGGGAAAACAGAAAAGGUGCCACAAAUCCCAUUUUGAGAAAAAUCUGUUUUCUUCAUGGAACCCCUAGAAUUCAAGGUGAAUAAGUAGUUCUCAAAAUCUAUCUUUGUCUUCCAGCUUUGCUUGUUUAUUAGGCUGAGGAAAGUGUAUUCCUAGCUCUGUUCUUAAAGGGUCUCACCAGGAGGCCAAUAAUCCAUUGGGAAAUUAGCAAAUGAAAAAUUUUAUAACCACUGGAUCUUUUUCUGUUUGUGUGGUUAUAUAUGUGUUAUGUGUGUAAUGUCUAUUUGAAAAGAGCUAUAAUUAAUUGGCCUAAGAAAAAUAAUCACUUAAAUAAAAUAUUUUUAAAGAAAAAGUAAAAGCUGUGGUACCUUUCAGUUCACACAAUUUUAAUCAUCAAAAAUAAAAACAGUCUUAGAAACUGUUGGUAAAAUACACAUGUCUUCAGGGUGUAAAACUGUGAUCUAAAUUAUGCAGGUCAGAUACUAGGUUUGAUAAAUGUUUUAAGGUUGUAACUGCCUUUUUAGCCUUUAAAAAAUUGUCAACUUGCCUGCUUCACAAUUGGUAAGGCCUGGGAACAUAUGGAAGUAACCAUGCCCCUAACUAUGCUGAAAGCAGUCAAACUUUAUCUGCAUCUAGCACAUAAUUAAAACAAUCUACCAGGUUUUACAUCAAAGUUAAAAAUUGCUAAGAGUUACCAUUAUGACAUGUAAUUGAGACUACUGAACAUGGAUUUGCAUGCAAAGUGUGUGAAAAAAUAGUAAAAGCUGUUUUUAAUUAAAGAUAGGAAGGCAUGGAAAUAUACAUUUUGCCUAGAAAUAAAGGAUUAUCUUAAAUAAAAUAAAGCAGAAGGUUUAAGCAAAUUGUAAAAAGAUUGUGAAAAUUAAUCUUGCAAAGGAAACUCUGUGUAUGAACAUAUUAACUAAUUUCAAAGGGGUAUUAUAUAGUUUUAUAAAUUAAGGAUUAAAAUACAAGCACAAGGUUUUCUUAAAAUGCUAAUCUUUAGCAAAAUUUGUAGAGGGUCAUAAAAGGUUUGUGUAAAUCUCACCUCAUGGUCAAACUGAUUAAGAUUGAAUAGGAUUGUCUAUAAAGUUUCAUUUAAAAUCAGGGUUAACAUUAAUAGCAAACGAAUGCAAGGGUGAAAUUUAACAUUCUCUCUUGGAUAGAAUUUUCAUGUAAUAGAAAGGGCUGAUGAAUGGUUUUUGCUUUUUCAAAUUUUUGACUCAUCAUUUUGGCAAAACAAAAAACUUAUGGUAAUCGAAAAUUCUAUUUCAUAAUAUCAAGUGUUUUAAAUGUUGAACAUAUUUAACAGGCUUCCCAAAAAUCAAACUUUAGUUUCAAGGUUACCUUUCCUAACCCCUAGGUUCUGGUUCUGCACAGGGCCCCUGGAACAUCUGGAAGAGAGGUAAAUAGGAUUAGUUAACUUGUUUAGGUUCAUCGAAUUGCCAAAAUGAUGUCUAAUACUCUUCAAGUUAUAUUUUAGGAAAUAAUAUUAACAUAUGUUCCAAAACUCUAUGGGAUGUCUAAGGUUCUAGUGUCUGAAUAAUACAUGCUGUUAAUCACAAUUAAGGUUGUUAUGUUAGGUUAUUGUAAGCCACAGAAAUAACCAAAUUUGUCAGUCAUGUUCUUGACUGUAACCACCCUGGACAUUCUGUCAUUUACAAACAAUUGUUGUCUUGUUUGAAUCUUCUUCUUAAAAAAAAUAGUUUGUAAUCGGCUAUGGAACUUUAAUAGGUGCUCUUAAAUGCAGGUUUUUGAUAAAAGAAAAUGUACAGGACUCAUACAAAGCUGAAAUGUUUAUGAAUAACAACCAGACCAAGAGUUAAUGGAAUGGACUGAACUAAUAGAAAACUAAAGCAAUAUUCUUGAUUUAUGCUUGUAACACUGGUGAUCCUUAUUUUGUUUUUCAGAGUCAAAGAAACUUUCUUAAAAGCCUUUAAGAACUAAGUAAACUAUACUCCUGUAAACAAGGUUUGGAGCAUGUUUGUUUCUCUCUGCCUAGUUCCUCUAGAAUUUGGAAACUAGUUAUAAGUAUUCUUGAAUUACAACGAUACAGUUAUUUGCAUCAGUGCAACAAGAAUCCUUCGCAACAAAACACAAUUGGAAAAACCGGUUGUUUUAUCAAGGCUUUGACUGCAUAGCUUUGACUUGCAGAGCCAAUGAAAGCCUCUUGGGAAAACUGGCUUCAUACCUUGUCUACACAGUCUCUGUACAGGAUUCCUGACCUGUGGUGAGUAAAGAAUGUCACUUUCUAACAGGCCUGGAAACCCCAUGCUCCUGGAACCUCAAGAAGAAAGAAGUUUAUCCAAUUCACGGGUAUUUCAGCGUACAAACCCAUGGCUGGACUUGGCUUCAAAAGGUCCUAUCCAAGAUUCCUUGUGGAACAGAGUUCUAUCAAAGCCAAUCAAAAAGGCCUACAUAGAGGUAAUUAUUCUCGCUGCACUUUUGCAAAUAAUCAGGCGGAGUAUAAAACUAAAGUUUAUUUUGCAACCAUCUCAGUCCUAUCAUAAGUUGUUUUUAAUAAAAAUGAGAACUGGAAAGAGAGAAAUUAUGUUCCAAAUUUAUUGUACAUCUGUGAUAUGGUUUGGCUCUG